rnacentral:lncRNA from 1 species
CCAACCUGAAGGUCACCAGAGUAGGAUUUUACCUUCUCAAAGGAGAAACCAGCUUCUUAUCAAAGAGAACCCUGCUUUGCUAUCAGGGGGAAAAGCAGCCUCCUUAAUCCAAUGACAUGAUUCCUUGGGGCUCACCCAUUGUUCUGAUAAGGACUGAGUAGUUGAGAGGAAAUUUGCUAUGAAAGUCCUCCUUUCCCCAUAUCUGAAAGAACCGCCAUCUAAUUUAUUCUUCAUAGAGGAUCUACCCAAUGAGCUGAAAUCAGGGUUAGAAGGAAUGGGAAGCUAUCUCAUCCAACUUGUCUCUGGAAAGGAAUCCCUUUUAUGAUAGGUGGAGUUAUCCAGCCUUUGUUGGGAAAUCCGCACUAGUUAAGGAUGCACCCACAGUGCAUCCCAUUCUGGUUUUGGGGCAGCUGCAAUUGAUAGACUAGAUAGAGUGGAAGACAUUACUCUGAAUUCAGAUCUGGAUUCAGAUAGUAUGAGCUGUGUGGCCCUGGGCAAGUUGCUUAAGUCAAUUUGCCUCAUUUCUUCAUCUGUAAAAUGAGGUGGAGAAGGAAAUGGCAAACCAGUCCAGCGUUUUUGCUGAGAAAAUCCUAAUU